rnacentral:rRNA from 1 species
GACGAACGCUGGCGGCGUGCUUAACACAUGCAAGUCGAACGAAGAGCGAUGGAAGCUUGCUUCUAUCAAUCUUAGUGUCGAACGGGUGAGUAACGCGUAAUCAACCUGCCCUUCAGAUGGGGACAACAGUUGGAAACGACUGCUAAUACCGCAUACGAUCUAAUCUCUGCAUCGAGGAUAGCUGCAAGGUUGCCUCUACAUGUAAGCUAUCACUGAAGGUGGGUAUUGCGUCUGAUUAGCUAGUUGGAGGGGUAACGGCCCACCAAGGCGAUGAUCAGUAGCCGGUCUGAGAGGAUGAACGGCCACAUUGGGACUGAGACACGGCCCAGACUCCUACGGGAGGCAGCAGUGGGGAAUCUUCCGCAAUGGACGAAAGUCUGACGGAGCAACGCCGCGUGAGUGAUGACGGCCUUCGGGUUGUAAAGCUCUGUUAAUCGGGACGAAAGGCCUUAUGGCGAAUAGUGAGAAGGAUGGACGGUACCGGAAUAGAAAGCCACGGCUAACUACGU